UCUUCCGAGGUAAACGACAUUUCCAAGCUGACACCGUGUUAGGUUACACCACUGCAAAGAGAAUGACAAAAAUUUUAAACCUAAUUUUGCUGAUUAUAUUUUCAUUGUUUGUCAGCGUGAUGACUCAACGUCAUGGCCAACGACCCCACUAUAGCCAUGUGAAUAAUCACAAAAUCGGAUUAAGUCGUCCCCCAGUACAAUAUAGCGGCCAUCACAUUGUGCUACAAGGUCCAGUAGGUCGUCCCAGAGGCAAUUUUGGAAGUCCACGGAGUUUUUCGGUAAAUCGACCACGUCAAUCUAGCCUCCAUGACGCACGCAUGGAGUACAGAAAGCAGAAUCUAUAGCUUUAACUUCCAAGGGAAUAGUAAUUUUGUCAAUAAAAUUAAGUCUUUAAAUUGUAA